GUGUCUUUAGCUCAGCUGGAUAGAGCAUCGCCCUUCUAAGGCGAGGGUCGGGGGUUCGAAUCCCUCAAGGUACACCA
rnacentral:tRNA from 1 species